CCUUCUCUCCCUACAUUUGUCGGCGCUGCUCCUUGAGAAAACCCUAACGACGAAUCCACUCCAAUCCGCCGGAAAAUCCACACGACCAGUAAAUCGCCCCCGUCGACGACACAAAACCGACGCUCUAUGCGCUUACCGACGACGAUCCUAAGAUUUGGAGCUAAACGACUACAAAAUCAAUUCUGAAAUCCUACAAAUGUGAAACUCAAACUCCGCGCGAUUCCUUCUAUUCGACGGCGGAUUGGCCCGACGCAAACCAAAUCUAUACAACCUAAUCGAAGACGGAAUAGAUUGAAACCCCUAACCUCAACAAAACCGUUGAGAUGCUACUCAAUUUGAUCAAUUUCGGUUUCAAUUACAGAAUCGGAGAAAGAGAGGAAAACUUUAGAGGAUUCAAAGAAGAUAUCAAAAAAAUUACACAACAUACUAGAAAAAUAUCUUUCCAAACCCCCAGGAUUGCAUGUCUGAAGAGAUAAGUUUCAUUUUAUAAUCGAAUUAUGAAUUUUCUAAGGAAUUGCAUGGUAAAUGUUGUUGACAGACUCUAUUUUAGGAGAUCUAUGCUUGUGACAGUGAAUAAAAUCUACAAUGUUUCAUUAUUAGCUUUCAAAUUUGAUUCAAAAUUGUUGCCUACACAUAAA